AUGUCGGUGUGUAAGUGUAGCGUAGCGAUAACCGUCCAGCUUCAAAGGUAAGAUGCAGGGGAGUAAUGCAGCAGCUAAUUUUAUAUGGCGGAAUGAGCAUGGUAGCACUCUUCAAAGAAGGUGGAAUAGGAAUUUGGCUUCAUGCGAAAUUAUGUUAACAGAAACCUGAGUUUCUGUAACAUAUUAUUAUAUACGUGGCUUAGGACAUCCAAACAAAUAAAUGAAAUUCUUUAGUAUAAGAAGAUGAAGAAGAUAUAAAAGAUUACCAAUGUUAUGCAAACGAUGGAACAUGAAUCAACCGCAUAAAACUCAGUCGCUGUAUCAAAAAUGACCAUCGUGGGAUGCU